GGAUUACUUUGUUAUCCUAUAACUUUUGUGUGCAGGAAGCCAUAAAAGACCCGAGGUGGAAAGAAGCAAUGGACGAAGAAAUGAAGUCUCUUCGAAAGAAUGAAACCUGGACUUUUGUAACAGCAAGAACGAGCGUGACAGCUUGGAGCGUGAAUGUAUAAGGACACAUUAGUAGGACAAAGAUUCCCUAGAUUCGCUGAUUAGGAGAGAGAGAAAGAAAAUUUAUAAUAAAACAGUGUGUGGCAACAAAACGAUACCGUUUAUAUUUCAAUCGCCAAACCAAUUUAGGGUUUUCUCCUUUUAUGCUUAUUUCCAGUUAUUUAGAAUAUGAUAGAGAGAUACAAAAAAGGUGUGUAUACUUAUGCAUUUUUAAAGUCUCAUUGUUAUUUUCCA